GGCUGGUCCGAAGGUAGUGAGUCAUCUCAGUUGAUUGUUCAGUCAGUUACAGAUCGAGCUCCUUGUUCUACUCUUUCCCCCCUUCUCACUACUGCACUUGACUAGUCUUUU
rnacentral:Y_RNA from 1 species